AGUCGAGGGGCAGCAUAAUGGAUAGCAAUAUCUAUGGUGGCGACCGGCGCACGGGUGCGUAACGCGUAUGCAACCUACCUUUAACAGGGGGAUAACACUGAGAAAUUGGUACUAAUACCCCAUAAUAUCAUAGAAGGCAUCUUUUAUGGUUGAAAAUUCCGAUGGUUAGAGAUGGGCAUGCGUUGUAUUAGCUAGUUGGUGGGGUAACGGCUCACCAAGGCGACGAUACAUAGGGGGACUGAGAGGUUAACCCCCCACACUGGUACUGAGACACGGACCAGACUCCUACGGGAGGCAGCAGUGAGGAAUAUUGGUCAAUGGACGCAAGUCUGAACCAGCCAUGCCGCGUGCAGGAUGACGGCUCUAUGAGUUGUAAACUGCUUUUGUACGAGGGUAAACGCAGAUACGUGUACCUGUCUGAAAGUAUCGUACGAAUAAGGAUCGGCUAACUCCGUGCCAGCAGCCGCGGUAAUACGGAGGAUUCAAGCGUUAUCCGGAUUUAUUGGGUUUAAAGGGUGCGUAGGCGGUUUGAUAAGUUAGAGGUGAAAUUUCGGGGCUCAACCCUGAACGUGCCUCUAAUACUGUUGAGCUAGAGAGUAGUUGCGGUAGGCGGAAUGUAUGGUGUAGCGGUGAAAUGCUUAGAGAUCAUACAGAACACCGAUUGCGAAGGCAGCUUACCAAACUAUAUCUGACGUUGAGGCACGAAAGCGUGGGGAGCAA
rnacentral:rRNA from 1 species